rnacentral:piRNA from 1 species
UGGGAGUCGAUGGAACAGAGGAGGAAUA